rnacentral:rRNA from 1 species
UACGGAGGGGGCUAGCGUUGUUCGGAAUUAUGGGCGUAAGCGCAACGUAGGCGGCUUUUCAAGUCCCAUGUGAAAGCCCAGCGGACUUGAACCGUCGGAAGUGCAUGGGAAACUGGAAAGCUUGAGUACUUAAGAGGAUCGCGGGAAUUCCCGGUGUAGAGGUGAAAUUCGUAGAUAUCGGGAGGAACACCAGUGGCGAAGGCGGCGUCUGGGAAGAUACUGACGCUGAGGUGCGAAAGCGUGGGGAGCAAACAGG